UGGGGAAUAUUGCACAAUGGGCGAAAGCCUGAUGCAGCAACGCCGCGUGAGUGAUGAAGGCCUUCGGGUUGUAAAGCUCUGUCUUUUGGGACGAUAAUGACGGUACCAAAGGAGGAAGCCACGGCUAACUACGUGCCAGCAGCCGCGGUAAUACGUAGGUGGCAAGCGUUGUCCGGAUUUACUGGGCGUAAAGGAUGCGUAGGCGGAUUUUUAAGUGAGAUGUGAAAACCCUAAGCUUAACUUGGGGACUGCAUUUCAUACUGGAAAUCUAGAGUGCGGGAGAGGAGAAUGGAAUUCCUAGUGUAGCGGUGAAAUGCGUAGAGAUUAGGAAGAACACCAGUGGCGAAGGCGAUUCUCUGGACCGUAACUGACGCUGAGGCAUGAAAGCGUGGGUAGCAAACAGGAUUAGAUACCCUGGUAGUCCACGCCGUAAACGAUGAGUACUAGGUGUAGGAGGUAUCGACCCCUUCUGUGCCGCAGUUAACACAAUAAGUACUCCGCCUGGGAAGUACGAUCGCAAGAUUAAAAACUCAAAUGAAUUGACGGGGUCAUAGCUGUUUUCC
rnacentral:rRNA from 1 species